rfam:Schistosoma mattheei strain Denwood, Zambia genome assembly, scaffold: SMTD_scaffold0000704
AUCCAGUUGACGAGUCCCAAACGGGAUGAAACGCGCGUCCUGAAU